rnacentral:rRNA from 1 species
AGAGAGAGACAUGCGCGCAUAUCAAUAAGCGGAGGAAAAGAAACUAACAAGGAUUCCCUUAGUAACGGCGAGUGAAGCGGGAAGAGCUCAAAUUUGAAAUCUUCAAGGUUUUACCCUGACGAAUUGUAGUUUAAAGAAGUGUUUUCUGCUGAAGUUUUGGUAAAAGUUCUUUGGAAUAGGACAUCAUAGAGGGUGAGAAUCCCGUAUUUGACCAUUAUUUUCAGCUUUGUGAUACACUUUCAAAGAGUCGGAUUGUUUGGGAAUGCAGUCCAAAAUGGGUGGUAAAUUUCAUCUAAAGCUAAAUAUUGGCGAGAGACCGAUAGCGAACAAGUACCGUGAGGGAAAGAUGAAAAGAACUUUGAAAAGAGAGUUAAACAGUACGUGAAAUUGUCAAAAGGGAAGCGUUUGACACCAGUGUUGUUUUCUCGAAAAUCAAUUAAAAAUGGCUCGAUUUUGUAUUGCUUGAGACCUUAAAAGCUCACUGUACAUUUUUCGUGUCUUUUUUAAUGCACUUUUCGUUUAACAAGUCAACAUCAGUUUCUUUGUUGUAAAAGGGUCAUUGGAAGGUGGCUUUCUUUUCGGAGAAAGUGUUUAUAGCCUUUGGCCUCUGCAAUCGGAGAGACUGAGGUCUGCAGCGUAGACUCUUCGGGGUUAGAUACAUUUGUGCUAAGUUAUAGCCUUUUAUAGACAACUUGUUGACUAUAAUUAGUCUUGUAGCUUACUCGCUUAUGCUAUUUUACCUACGCUUAGGAUGUUGAGUCGUAGAGCACGCAG